rnacentral:pre_miRNA from 1 species
UUCAGACGGUCAUGUAGCGACUCUCACGGUAGACCAGCCGCCUGCAGAUUGUUCUGUUGC